GCUCCGGUGGUCUAGCGGUUAGAGCGUCCGCCUCGGAUGCGGGAUGUCAUGGGUUCGAAACCCGGUUAUAGCG